CGCUUCGCUCGCUCACGCGUUAAAAUAUCUCGAUAAUUAAUCGCCUUCAUUAAUAGACUUGUUGGUUAAAUAACUAUUAAUUGAUUUCAUUUAACUUCAUUUCGUUACAGGUAAACCGGAAGUUAGAAGAAAAUGAUCGAAAAGUAUCAAAAACACUUUGAGGUUAUAAAAUGUGAACCGGAAGUUAGAAGAAAAUGAUCGAAAAGUAUCAAAAACACUUUGAGGUUAUAACAUGUGAACCAGAAGUUAGAAGAAAAUGAUCGAAAAGUAUCAAAAACAAUUUGAGG